UUGGUGCAGCUCCCUCAGCCGCGGAGGCAGACAUAAGGCGGUGUUGUGGACGCGGCGGACAGGAGAGAGCUGCCCAACUCAAACGGAGCUCUCAUUCUGAACACCUCUUCGCUGCGGUGGACUUCAACCCGGUAGGAAACUCUCCUCCGCUCAAGCCCGACACCACUCCGGGUGAAUGAAGGGCUCCGUCCAUGCGGAGGCUAGCGCUGGUUCUUCUGCCCUGUGCUGUCGCCGUGCUGGUGCACUUGUGGUUCGCUCACAGACGGUCCUACACCCCGCUGGACGACGACACAUUCCCGGAUGGGGUGGUACCGUUCUAUGAAGUUCUGGUGGGAGUUUUAUCUGCCAGACAUCACCAGGAGCUGCGACAAGCUAUAAGGGACACCUGGCUGGGCUACCUGCGACAUCACCCUCACUUCCAGCACAGAGUGGGGGUGAAGUUUAUCGUGGGCAAACAUGGGUGUCCCAUCCCAGAGGAGGACAGAGAGGACCCUUACUCCUGCUCUCUAUUCAACAUCACAGAGCCAGUAAUAGGGCAGGACGCGGAAAAAGAAAUGGUGAUGGUGUCCGACCCCGCCAUCCUCGUCUCAUCUGAUGUUUCUACUGUUGCGCUGGAUUUUAAGGUUCUCCACCCGGUGGUGAUCACCAGGUUGGGGGUGUUUCCCAGAUGCACUCAGCCUGAGCUUCAGAGCAAUGUGACAGUGAAGCUCCUCCAACUGGAUCAGGAGGAGGCUGUGGUAACCGCUCGCUUCAGCGCCAUCAACACAGGGACCCUCAUGAGCGGAAUAUGGUACAAACCAGUGGAGCAGUUCAUCUUGCCCAAGGGUUUUGAGGGCACACUGGUGUGGGAGAGUUCGGACUCGGACGAACUGACUGUCAACUCAUCUUGUGUGCAACUCAAUGAUGGAGGAGGCGUCCUUAAGUUCUCCUCCAUUGCAGAAGGCAUACUGCCCCACAGAAGAGCUCUUGGAUUUCCUGGUUUGGCUGGAGGAUUCACCUUCACCAUUUACGACGGGGACAAUCUGUCAGUGCUCCUGCGGGGUCGUCCAGCCAGGAUGGAGCGCCAUGCCUCGGGGCUGAGGCAGGAGGAUGCUGCUUUGCAGCAGGAGAGCCUGAGGCACAACGACAUGGUGUUUGUGGACGUGGUGGACACCUACAGGAACGUGCCUUCCAAACUGCUUCAGUUCUAUAAAUGGUCUGUGGCCAAUGCUGACUUCAAUCUGCUCUUGAAGACUGAUGACGAUUGUUACAUUGACAUGGACUCUGUAUUAAUGAAGAUUGACCAGAAGGGUCUCAAGCGCAGCCAUUUUUGGUGGGGAAAUUUCAGGCAGAGUUGGGCAGUGGAUCGCAUUGGGAAGUGGCAGGAGCUGGAGUAUGCCAGUCCCGCCUACCCGGCCUUCGCAUGUGGCUCUGGCUAUGUGGUGUCACAUGACCUGGUUCAGUGGCUUGCCAGUAACGCAGAGAGUCUAAUGGCCUACCAGGGAGAAGAUGUAAGCAUGGGCAUAUGGAUGGCAGCUGUUGGACCACAGAAGUAUCAGGACCCCAGCUGGCUGUGUGAAAAAGAAUGCUUCCUGGACAUGCUGUCAUCACCACAACACACAGCAGAGGAGCUGCGUGUCCUGUGGGACAGGAGGAGGGCAUGUGGGGACCCCUGUGGGUGUCCUUGGGGAGGCUAAGAAAUCCACCGGUGCAAUUAGGCUGACAUUUUAAACACGCGCUGUGGUUGGUCCCUUGGAGAACACCCCCUCCUUCCUUUGAGAGCUAAUGUUCCGCACUGCUGUCAAUCAUCCCCACCCCACCCUCAUCCGUCCAUCCAUGUGUGGUGCUCUCGGGGAGAUGAGGAGGAGGAAAUAAUUUAUUCAUGACACCCGGCAAGCAAAAGCAGCAUUUUUGACUGUUUAUGACUCGCAGGAAUGAGAAGGUAAUAUUAGACACACAAGCGUUACACUUUCAUUCCCACUCAGAGGAUCCUCUCCAUGCUGUCUGCAGCAGUUGCAGAUGAAAUAGUCCAGUGGUUCUCAAACUUUUUUUUCCCCCAAGUACCGCCUCUGAAAAAACUUGUCUCUACAAGUGCCACCUUAAUGACCCACAUUAAAAUGCAGUAGCGUAGUAGGCCUAAGUAUUCAUUAAAAACGAGGCAGCUGUUUUAUUGAACAAGUAUAUUGAAUGUGGUUGGCUAUGUGAGAUUACACACAGUUUGAAUAUAGGAAAAAUAAAACACUGUGCUUUAAUGGAGUGAUUGUUUGACGUACCACCAGAUGGAGCCCCCACAGUUUGAGAUAUUCCAUAAAUGAUUUGCCUUCAGUCCUUGUCGAUGCACUGCUUAUCUAAAGUGAAUCAUGUUGUUUCAUAAGCCCACUCCACUCCUACUGCAGGCGUAUGCUAGAUGGUAAUUAGCCGAGUGAGUGAGUGACUGUCAUAAGAGGAUCACGAAUGAGCUCACGGGCCUGCCCACGACACGCUGUACAAUAUAGCAAUGCAAUCUUUCCCAACUCUGAAACACUAUGACGCACGAAAAGAGAAGGUUGAAAGAAGCCAAUACUUCAUUAUUCCUGCUUAUCCCAAAUGGGACGCCAGGAGGCUGGCAGAAGGGUUUUGCACACAAGUAAGGGGCUGGUAAAGAUAUGCAUGAGCACAUGUUGCUCUGGGUGCAGUGACAUGAAUAUUAACCAGGCUUUU